CAUUGGUCAGCACCGGAGCCGGGGCGGGGCGCUGGGCUGCUCGCCGCUGCACCUCCCAGGCCCGGGUCUGGGCUCUUGGCGUAGCUGUCAAAACUCCUGCAGGGAGUUUGGGACUGGGGUGACGCGAGCUGGGCGCAGGAUUUCAAGAUUCCACGAAAAAAAGCAAAGCUUUAGAAUCAGACUUAAGUUUGAAUCCUUUGCGCUUUCAACUGAGAGCCUCGUGACCUGAGGAUCUCGCCACCACGCUAAGCCUCGAUAUGCUCAUCUGUAAAAUGGAGAUAACCGUCAGCACCUGUCCUACAGAACUGUUGUGAAAGGCCGCGGGUUGAGUUCCCGACACACCGCCGGAGCUCAGUCAUGCUGAAUCUCUUCUCCUCCCUCAGAAUCCACCCAGGGACCUCUGCUGUUUCGAAACCUCUGUUGCCACCUAUCCCAGUUUGCAGGGAGGUCUCCCUAGGGUGGCGCGAGGAAGGGAUUUCCACUCGCUGCCUCACUCGGCUCUGCACCCCUGGCCACCAGCCAGGACUUGGGGUGUAGUUAAGGAUCUCUCAAUUAGAAGGGAGGUUUCAGAUUCCCAAAAGUGCUCAAAAUAUUUAAGGAAGUGCUUUUUAUAAUCAGUCCCAGAGCCUUGCAGCAUAGCAUGCCUUGCUGCACUGGAUACUCCUGUUAAUUAAUUCCUUCUCCUUUGACAUUUUAAAUACCAAUUAUAGGAGAAGGUGAUUAAUACUGAGGAUAGAAGAGGUAUGUGUGUGUGUGUGUGUGUGUGUGUGUGUGUGUGUGUGUGUGUUUAAUCAUGAGAGGGAACAUUUCCCCAGUGGAAAGUGACAUUUCUGAAGAUCUGGGCAGUUUAAACCAGUGAGCACAUAAAAGAAGUCACAUGAGUGAUCGCUAAUAGUACUAGUAAACGGGCCACCCACCUCCCUUGCCAUAAGCACCCAGGAUGCAGUGGACAGCUUUUGAAAACCUAAGCCUCAAUCUACUCUUGUCUCUCCUUAGUUCAUCCUUAUGCUGGGUCCCAAGCUUCCUGAACCACAAUGCAGUAGAAAGCAAUAAAGAAAUCAACAGGCCUGGCUCACAGUGUGGCCUUCAGUGAUACUCUUCCCUCCCAGAUCUAGAUUCUCCAGUAAAGUCAGGAGGACUCAGAGGUCAUCGUCUGGCUGUCUGGGCAAGCAAUUCAGCCUGAAGACUGUUUUCGCUUGACCUAUACAGUGAGGAGGAGGAGGGAGAAGUAGAAGUGCAGUGGGAGGGAAAGAGUUUGAAUUGAAACCUUUGAGAAAAGGCAGGCAGUCUCCCCUUCCCCCACUCGCCACACUGCUCACCAUUCCCUAGUUUAUUCUCACGGCACAUUUGUCUCCUUUAUAUUAUCUCCUGGCCCCUAUAGGCCAGUUUGCCACCACUGAACUAGGACAUCUUCAAGCCUUUUCUGAUGGUGGUGUUUGGUGCUGCUGAGCCCUCUGCUUCAGUGGGGCUUUCUGCUCUACCCAUAGCUGUCAGAACCCUCGCUCUGUCCUCCUGUGACCCAUUCCUUGAACCAGACACUGUCAAAGCCCGACUUCAUUCAAGAGAUAGUCUCCCAAGCCACGUCUGAUAAAUAGGGCUUAUCUCAUUUACCAUCUCCUAUCAAUUGGUAAUGGCUGCCCAGGACUUUGUGUUGAAAACAAUUCUAAAACUCUGUUCAGGCUCUCGGGGUGAAAGAGAUGUCUGCCAGGGGAUAAGGUGGGGGAAUAGUGUCAUGGUGCAAUUAUUUGCAAUUCUUGAUAUACCAGCCUCUCCUUUUACAGACAAGAGAUUAAGGUCCAGAGAGGGAGAAUAACUUGUCCCAGGUCACCUAAGAGGCCUAAGCGAAGUCCACCUUCUUCCAAGGGUCUUUGCAGAAAGCUCCAGGCCCUGCUUGUUCACCUCUGUGUAUCCACCACCUGACACAGCGUGUUCCACUCAGCCCAGCCAAGAUUCACACAACUGCUGGUGGAGCUACCGAGCAGCCACAGAUCUGGAAUGUGUCUGUUUCUGUUCUGGAAGUGAUUUCUGAAAUCUGCAAAGUGAUUAUUGGAAGUCUGCUAACUUGGUUGCAAGUUACCUGCCCAGGCCUAGAAUGCUUUUGGUGGAUCUGUUGGACUUUGGAAAUUCAAGAAGCUUCUACUCUGAGCUCUGACAUUCACUAGUAUCCUUCCUGCCUCUCCUCCCUCCUCAAGUGCCUUGAGGACAGGGAUCAUGUCUGUUUUGUUCAUCCACCGACGGUCCUAACAUAUCUGGCCAACACAUCACUGACGAAUGAAUUUAAGGAAAAUGAAAUUUACAAUCCAAGACGCCACCACACGAAUGGACUGCUGCGUAUGGUCCUCGGGGAAAGCAAGCCCAUCCAUCUCCACCUUCCUCCUAGUCUUCUGUAUCAGAACAGUUGUCUGGACAGAAACUACCACCACCACCGAGAGCCCACGGAGAUGCCGCAGCCAUUUAGUGAGCCAGGCCCACGCAAAACAUUUCAAGGGAGCGGAUCUCACUUCAGUGAGUAGCCACCUGAGCCCUUGCUCAUUAAAUGCAGUUGAGAAUGAGGUCAAUAAGGCCUACCCAGGAGGCUGCCCACUGAGGAGAGCUGUUCUCGAACCUUCUCCAUCCCUCCCCUGCUAAAGACUCUUGGAAUCACUGGGAGAGAAUCAAAGGAGGCCCAAAGACCUCCUCACACUUGCCAUUCAGCCAUGUGGGGCACCACAAGGCUCCUCCCUGCACAGCCUCAAAUUUCACGCAGGGUUAAACCUUUCUGAGCCGAAGCCCAAAGGGUUUUGUUCGCAAGCCCAUUUCUAAGAAUUGCUUUUGCCCCAAACAAUAAAUUUUCUGCUCAAAACAGCAUUCUUCCCCCUCUAAGUAGAAAAUUGUGCUUUGAUAUUUGACAACAUUCAGGAAUGUUCGUUUUGUUUUGUUUUGUUUUGUUUUUUAAUGUUUGGUCACAAUGAAGACAGCUU